AUGAUCCGUCUUACCUCUGUUGCACAACUGAUGUUCAUCACAUUCGACACGAUGGUUAUUUAUGUGACAACGAAGAGUCUGCACAUUUCUUUUUUUAUACAAUCAAGGUGUGGUGUCUCCCCACAACCCUUGAGUAUUUAUGUUGUGCAUAAAAAUCCUCAGUUGUAUCUCAACUGUUGUUCCAAAUGUGUUGUGCCGCACAUGUUCCAAAUAUGCGGUACAACUCAAGUGUGUAGGGGGCCAUACAGCCAGACUCCCGUGGGCGAGAAAAUACUAAGUGGCCCCUGGCCUCCCUGUGCUAAGAUGAACCAUGGGUUUGAGAGAGACUUCCUCUGUGACGUUUCUCUGGCAUUUGGGCAACAUGUGGCCUACUUCAUGUGCUACAGAUCCAGUGUGAAGAUACUGUACAGUAAGCGAUGUUCAGAGGUGUUGGGGACACAGCAGCUAUUCACACACAUUUGUGCUGUGGUCAGGCUCGGCCAAGAUCAGACAGAAUCAACCCCAUGACAGUUCAUCAAGUCAGGUAGCUCAGUAACACUACUGAAGACCUCCUCCACAAUCCUGAAUUAUCCUGAAAUGUCCAAAUAAACUGAGCAGAUCUAAGAUGUGACCCUGUUGAUUCAUCUCAUCCCAGAAAGGUUACUGCAGGUUGGCUUUGUCUAAGCUUGGAAGAUAACCAGCAGUUUGUUUGGAUGGAUGGCAGGUCAUUCACACUGGGCACAACACAUAGUUUCAACAUGGAUAAUUGGGUAAUAUUUGGUUGAGAUGUUGAUCAUUGAGAUUAUAACCUACAGUAUAUUCACCCACCCAAAAAGAAAGCCAAAAGUUAGUUGAUUUUCCAAUGUUAUCACUAUGCUUUCAACCAUCUAAAAGCACAACCAAUUUCCAAUGGAAAAACAAUGUCAGAUUUUUGGUUCAGAUGUCAACUAAAUUUCUAUCGCUGCGCUUUCAACCAUUUUAAACCACAGUAACGUUCAAAUGGAAAUACAAUAUCAGAUAUGUUUUAUUUUCAUGUAAUAGAUUACUGUGUUAUCCCUGUGCUUAAUCUAAUAGCAUAACCAAAUGACCUAAAUUGCAGUUCAGUUAAAAUGACAUUAAAAGUACAUGGUGCAAAUUAUCAAGACCGGUCGAGAUUCUGCAAAGGUAAUUACAGCAAUUGUGAAGAUCUCCACAGACCUGCGAUGACCUAUGCAUUUUGGAACUUGCACACUUUAAAUAAUUACAAAGAAUAUAUAGUUACAGUAAUUCAAAAUGUGUUUUUUUUUAAGUUUGAAUGUUACAUCAGUUUGUAAGAUAGCGUUAACUUUAGUCUAUGAACUGUAUUACAAAAGUAAUAUUGAAUUGUGUUUAGUUUACAACUCAACCAAAUAUCACAAUUUUAUGGAGAUGUAGGCCUAUAAACUGCUUGGAUAGUUUGAUUAGAGCCACUGGUUUAAUCCCAUUUUAUAACUUACAUUGUUGUUUGAGUUGGAGAUGUGAAUCCAACAUAUAACAUGUUAACUUGUCGACAAGUUAGUAUACUAUUUAUUGUAUUUCAAAACUGAUAUUGAAUUGUGUUUGGUUCUCAAUGCAACCAAAUAUCAACAUUUGAAGGAGAUCUUCUGCUUGGAGAGUUUCGUCUGUGCCACGGAUUUAGUCUGGCUUUAAUUCCACUUUGUCUACAAAUUAAUAAUGUGCACUGAACAAAAAUGUAAACACAACAUAUAAAUAGUUGGUCCCAUGUUUCAUGAGCUGAAAUAAAAGAUCCGAAAAAUUGUCCAUAUGCACAAAAAACUGAUUUCUCUAAAAUGUUGUUCACAAAUUUGUUUACAUCCCUGUUAGUGAGCAUUUCUCCUUUGCCAAGAUCAUCCAUCCACCUGACAGGUGUGGCAUAUCAAGAAGCUGAUUAAACAGCAUGAUCAUUACACAGGUACACCUUGUGCUGGGUACAAUAAAAAUCCACUCUAAAAUGUGCAGUUUUGUCACACAACACAAUGCCACAGAUGCCUCAAGUUUUGAGGGAGCAUGCAAUUGACAUGCUGACUGCAGGAAUGUCCACCAGAGCUGUUGCCAGCGAAUUGAAUGUUAAUUUCUCUACCAUUAG
ensembl:lncRNA